AUUGAACGCUGGCGGCAGGCUUAACACAUGCAAGUCGAACGAGUGGCGGACGGGUGAGUAAUGCUUGGGCAUCUAGCUUAUGGAGGGGGAUAACUACGGGACACUGUAGCUAAUACCGCGUACCAUCGGAUGGGCCCAAGGGGGAUUAGGGAGUUGGUGGGGUAACGGCUCACCUAGCCGACGAUCUCUAGCUGGUCUGAGAGGAUGACCAGCCAAACGGGGACUGAGACACGGCCCAGACUCCUACGGGAGGCAGCAGUGGGGAAUAUUGCGCAAUGGGGGCAACCCUGACGCAGCCAUGCCGCGUGAAUGAAGAAGGCCUUCGGGUUGUAAAGUACUUUCAGUCGGGAGGCGUUACCGACAGAAGAAGCACCGGCUAACUCCGUGCCAGCAGCCGCGGUAAUUC
rnacentral:rRNA from 1 species